GAAGCAACGCGCAGAACCUUACCAACCCUUGACAUGGAUAUCGCGGGACCAGAGAUGGUUCUUUCAGUUCGGCUGGAUAUCACACAGGUACUGCAUGGCUGUCGUCAGCUCGUGUCGUGAGAUGUUCGGUUAAGUCCGGCAACGAGCGCAACCCACAUCCCCAGUUGCCAGCAGGUCAUGCUGGGCACUCUGUGGAAACUGCCCGUGAUAAGCGGGAGGAAGGUGUGGAUGACGUCAAGUCCCCAUGGCCCUUACGGGUUGGGCUACACACGUGCUACAAUGGUGGUGACAAUGGGUUAAUCCCCAAAAGCCAUCUCAGUUCGGAUUGGGGUCUGCAACUCGACCCCAUGAAGUCGGAAUCGCUAGUAAUCGCGUAACAGCAUGACGCGGUGAAUACGUUCCCGGGCCUUGUACACACCGCCCGUCACACCAUGGGAGUUGGGUCUACCCGACGGCCGUGCGCUAACCUCUUCGGAGGGGGCAGCGGACCACGGUAGGCUCAGCGACUGGGGUGAAGUCG
rnacentral:rRNA from 1 species